rnacentral:rRNA from 1 species
UUAAGCGACUAAGCGUACACGGUGGAUGCCCUGGCAGUCAGAGGCGAUGAAGGACGUGCUAAUCUGCGAUAAGCGUCGGUAAGGUGAUAUGAACCGUUAUAACCGGCGAUUUCCGAAUGGGGAAACCCAGUGUGUUUCGACACACUAUCAUUAACUGAAUCCAUAGGUUAAUGAGGCGAACCGGGGGAACUGAAACAUCUAAGUACCCCGAGGAAAAGAAAUCAACCGAGAUUCCCCCAGUAGCGGCGAGCGAACGGGGAGCAGCCCAGAGCCUGAAUCAGUGUGUGUGUUAGUGGAAGCGUCUGGAAAGGCGCGCGAUACAGGGUGACAGCCCCGUACACAAAAAUGCACAUGCUGUGAGCUCGAUGAGUAGGGCGGGACACGUGGUAUCCUGUCUGAAUAUGGGGGGACCAUCCUCCAAGGCUAAAUACUCCUGACUGACCGAUAGUGAACCAGUACCGUGAGGGAAAGGCGAAAAGAACCCCGGCGAGGGGAGUGAAAAAGAACCUGAAACCGUGUACGUACAAGCAGUGGGAGCACGCUUAGGCGUGUGACUGCGUACCUUUUGUAUAAUGGGUCAGCGACUUAUAUUCUGUAGCAAGGUUAACCGAAUAGGGGAGCCGAAGGGAAACCGAGUCUUAACUGGGCGUUAAGUUGCAGGGUAUAGACCCGAAACCCGGUGAUCUAGCCAUGGGCAGGUUGAAGGUUGGGUAACACUAACUGGAGGACCGAACCGACUAAUGUUGAAAAAUUAGCGGAUGACUUGUGGCUGGGGGUGAAAGGCCAAUCAAACCGGGAGAUAGCUGGUUCUCCCCGAAAGCUAUUUAGGUAGCGCCUCGUGAAUUCAUCUCCGGGGGUAGAGCACUGUUUCGGCAAGGGGGUCAUCCCGACUUACCAACCCGAUGCAAACUGCGAAUACCGGAGAAUGUUAUCACGGGAGACACAUGGCGGGUGCUAACGUCCGUCGUGAAGAGGGAAACAACCCAGACCGCCAGCUAAGGUCCCAAAGUCAUGGUUAAGUGGGAAACGAUGUGGGAAGGCCCAGACAGCCAGGAUGUUGGCUUAGAAGCAGCCAUCAUUUAAAGAAAGCGUAAUAGCUCACUGGUCGAGUCGGCCUGCGCGGAAGAUGUAACGGGGCUAAACCAUGCACCGAAGCUGCGGCAGCGACACUAUGUGUUGUUGGGUAGGGGAGCGUUCUGUAAGCCUGUGAAGGUGUGCUGUGAGGCAUGCUGGAGGUAUCAGAAGUGCGAAUGCUGACAUAAGUAACGAUAAAGCGGGUGAAAAGCCCGCUCGCCGGAAGACCAAGGGUUCCUGUCCAACGUUAAUCGGGGCAGGGUGAGUCGACCCCUAAGGCGAGGCCGAAAGGCGUAGUCGAUGGGAAACAGGUUAAUAUUCCUGUACUUGGUGUUACUGCGAAGGGGGGACGGAGAAGGCUAUGUUGGCCGGGCGACGGUUGUCCCGGUUUAAGCGUGUAGGCUGGUUUUCCAGGCAAAUCCGGAAAAUCAAGGCUGAGGCGUGAUGACGAGGCACUACGGUGCUGAAGCAACAAAUGCCCUGCUUCCAGGAAAAGCCUCUAAGCAUCAGGUAACAUCAAAUCGUACCCCAAACCGACACAGGUGGUCAGGUAGAGAAUACCAAGGCGCUUGAGAGAACUCGGGUGAAGGAACUAGGCAAAAUGGUGCCGUAACUUCGGGAGAAGGCACGCUGAUAUGUAGGUGAAGUCCCUUGCGGAUGGAGCUGAAAUCAGUCGAAGAUACCAGCUGGCUGCAACUGUUUAUUAAAAACACAGCACUGUGCAAACACGAAAGCUGGACGUAUACGGUGUGACGCCUGCCCGGUGCCGGAAGGUUAAUUGAUGGGGUUAGCCGCAAGGCGAAGCUCUUGAUCGAAGCCCCGGUAAACGGCGGCCGUAACUAUAACGGUCCUAAGGUAGCGAAAUUCCUUGUCGGGUAAGUUCCGACCUGCACGAAUGGCGUAAUGAUGGCCAGGCUGUCUCCACCCGAGACUCAGUGAAAUUGAACUCGCUGUGAAGAUGCAGUGUACCCGCGGCAAGACGGAAAGACCCCGUGAACCUUUACUAUAGCUUGACACUGAACAUUGAGCCUUGAUGUGUAGGAUAGGUGGGAGGCUUUGAAGUGUGGACGCCAGUCUGCAUGGAGCCGACCUUGAAAUACCACCCUUUAAUGUUUGAUGUUCUAACGUUGACCCGUAAUCCGGGUUGCGGACAGUGUCUGGUGGGUAGUUUGACUGGGGCGGUCUCCUCCUAAAGAGUAACGGAGGAGCACGAAGGUUGGCUAAUCCUGGUCGGACAUCAGGAGGUUAGUGCAAUGGCAUAAGCCAGCUUGACUGCGAGCGUGACGGCGCGAGCAGGUGCGAAAGCAGGUCAUAGUGAUCCGGUGGUUCUGAGUGGAAGGGCCAUCGCUCAACGGAUAAAAGGUACUCCGGGGAUAACAGGCUGAUACCGCCCAAGAGUUCAUAUCGACGGCGGUGUUUGGCACCUCGAUGUCGGCUCAUCACAUCCUGGGGCUGAAGUAGGUCCCAAGGGUAUGGCUGUUCGCCAUUUAAAGUGGUACGCGAGCUGGGUUUAGAACGUCGUGAGACAGUUCGGUCCCUAUCUGCCGUGGGCGCUGGAGAACUGAGGGGGGCUGCUCCUAGUACGAGAGGACCGGAGUGGACGCAUCACUGGUGUUCGGGUUGUCAUGCCAAUGGCACUGCCCGGUAGCUAAAUGCGGAAGAGAUAAGUGCUGAAAGCAUCUAAGCACGAAACUUGCCCCGAGAUGAGUUCUCCCUGACUCCUUGAGAGUCCUGAAGGAACGUUGAAGACGACGACGUUGAUAGGCCGGGUGUGUAAGCGCAGCGAUGCGUUGAGCUAACCGGUACUAAUGAACCGUGAGGCUUAACCUU